AUGUACAGUCAGCAGAGCUUUAGGGAUAUUAUUCACUGGCAUAGCUUAACCUUUGUUGGUGCUAGUUUGUGGAAAGCAAAAUUUCCUUUUGAAAAUCAAGGUAUGCAUGUGAUUAAUGGUUCAAGGUUGAAUGCAAAUAUGCAGAGCAGAUUUCUGAACGUGAAGGACCAUGCAGCAAGAAUUGUUUCUUAUGUCGUGUUUUUGAAAACGAAGACAGCAUCAUGUUUCAUCGCUCAUGGCUGCCUUUGUGUGGGUCAGCUUGAAAGAGGCGAUUGCUGGGAUCAAAGACUAGUUUGUACAUCUAAAUUCAUGUGUGUGUGUUUUAACAUAAAGAUUUUAUUAACUUAG
rnacentral:rRNA from 1 species